CUCAGCUUCAGUGCUAAAUGACAGAAUCUUAAAAGAAAACAACAUUAUAUUUUGCAGGAAGCUUAGGGCAGAUGGGCACACACUGCAAUCAUUGAGCUGUUUUCUCAAAAUUCUGAAGAAUUAUGCUGUCCUUGUCGUCUCGGACUGGACUUUUCAAGUUGUUUGCGCCAAGAGAUGAUCAUCCGUCUUGAAUUCAGAAGGUCUUUGUUAUUUACAUGCAAAUUAACAUGAAUCUGACUUGUCUGUUCUUCAAUUCUCAAGGAGACUUACUAGUGUCUGGAACUACAAAUGGAACUACAAAUGACCAAGUUGCAAAGAAAAAGUUUGCACAUCAAGCGCUACGGUUAGACUGUAGUUUUGUUUUUACUCGCAGAAGUUUUAAACUUCUGGAAAUAAAAGCCAAAACCAAGUCGCUGUGGUCUCAAGUGGGAGAUGGAUGUUUUGGACAUAGAAAAGGAAGUUGACUUUCCAAACUCAUUAACACACGUCUUCUCUCAUGGAGGUGUGUCUCUCCAGAAGACUUAAGAUCACAAUACAAGAUCAACGGCAUUGACAUGGGCUUGUCUUUGUAUAUUAAGGUCAAUGAGAGCAGAAAGACAUUUUCCCAACCCUUUUGUUUACAAAUGCAAGGGAGUUUUUGGGAGUUUAAAGUUCUAAAAACAUGGAUUCAACAGCGAAUGCCAACUACAACGAAGGCCUGGAUGUUGACUACCUAACCUCUUGGAUGAAUAUUGGAACCAAUCACAGCAGGAGCGGAUCUACCGGGGUGAUGUGGGGUGGCAAAUGCCACCCUAAGAAAAAGCUUUGCCACCCCAGCACAAGUAUUCAAAUGGAUCAAAUAUAAAUGAGAAGAUAACGGAAUCAACCCAAAAGUUAUGGGUCGCAUUUAAUGAGCUGCAGAGGAAUUGCGCCGCUAUCCCUCUGGGAGUUUCUUCCCUACAGUGAGCUAAGCACGAUGUGAACGGUAACAGGACAAUGCCACCGUUCCCAGAGGGAUUGCUGAUGGUCUUAUUUGAGAGGAUGUUCUGGAGGCAGAAAAUGGUCUACUCUACUCAAGUGUGCUGCUCCGGAGGUUAUACCCCAAACCCUACCUAUGAGGAGAUGUGAACAGCAGGAGGGCUGUUGCUGAAAGCAGAACUGGUAUGCAGUGCAGUGUGCUGAAAGCUCAGAGGGAGCUGUCCAGUGGCCGGUGCUGAAAUUAAUGCUAGUGCUGAAAUGGUUGUCUACACUCCUGUGGUUGCCACUCUCUUCUGCUCGUCUAUGGGUUUUGAAUGGUGGCAUCCCUUUAAAAUGAGUAACUCACUAAAUUUGAGAAGAAAUGGGAAGGGUGAGAAGACACAUAAAGUUAAUCAUUAUGGAGGACUGAUCCUACCACCGGAGAUGCAACCAGUCAAGGCAAGGCAAUUGACCUCACCGAAUGGGACCUCAAGCCAGCUCUGUUUAACUUACUUGUGUGUGACUCUUCAGCAAAGGAGUUUACACAUUGAUCUCUCCUUAUCCUCAAACAGGAAUGUUUCAGGGCAACGACGUCGGUCGGACAAACUAUCGAUCUUGAGCAGGCAUUGCACUCAAAGCAUGAAUAUCAAAAGUUGCUCCAUCCUCCAUUGUCUGCGCUAUCUCUCCACCCACUCUACCUCCUGCCGAGCCAUCUGCGCUUCAGCAAGCCCAGUCUCCAUGGCAACAGGGGAGGCCGUGUUGCCUCCUAUUGGCCCGCUGCCCAAACGGAGAGGCUGCCGGGGGUCGAAGGUUGUCUGUAGAGUGCCGCCUCACCGGUGUUGUAAUCAGCUGUUGAGCCCCAACCACAAUGAAAUGAAUGUCAGAAGGCAAGGGGUUAAUAAAACCUGGUCUGACUGGCAGCUGGGUCCAUUAUGAGUGAAGGACAGGAGGAGGGUGUGGUUAAAGGAGUUAAGCUUGGGGAAAGGGGGGAUUCGGCUUGUCUGGGAUGGUGGAGGGGUACAGGGAAUCAGAUCUUGGGUUGGUGGGCUCGUCUGUGUUGCGUAAGGGAAGAUUAGAUGUUGCCAUAAAUCUUGUCUGUAAGGGGGGACUGAAAUCUGUGGGUGUGUUUUUAGGAUUAUACUGCCUGGUUUUUGAGUGGGGGAUGUUGGAAAAUUGGAGAGCUAUCUGUGGUGAGACGAAAGCGCUGGAUUUGCUUACUACACGCUAUAGAGUAAAAUUGCUUGAAUGAGAUGGACAGUGCAAGCUUUUGGCCGUUAGGUUUAAGCAUGUUACCUGUAGAGUGGAAUUGUUUUUUUUUAAUAAGGCAUUCUCCAUCCAGAAGCAUUAUGCAUCAUUUUUGCAUGCAAAGCGACCAGGAUUAAAAUCCUAGCCUAAUACAUUUAUGACCUGCUCAAUCAUUUUGAACCAAUUUGUCCCAGAAACUCAUUUUGUGUUUCGUGCACUAAAGUACAAGAGAAAGCAUUUAAAUGAUCAUAUCAGCCAACAAAAUUCAACAACAGUUUAGAGUAGAAACAAUUAUAUAAUUAGAUAGCUGAGAUUUGCAUUUUAAUUUAGGGUCAUAGAGAAUGAUGUCAGAAGCUGGUCACAUACAGUAUAUAUUUUUUUUACAAACGAAGAAAAAUUGCAACUGAACUUGACAGCUCCAUGCAUAUAUAUAUAUAUAUGGAAAAGAGCAACUGUGAUGUUUUUACAAUGUGUUAUAACAAACACAUGCAGGGGUACUGUAGAAAAUGACAUAGUUUUCAGUUUAACCCUUUAACGCAUACCUCUGGCCUUUAGUGACCCAGUACCUCAUUUCACCCCCUGUACCUCAUCCGUUUUGGUAUUACGUUAUUAAGCACAUUCAGUUUUGCCCACACCUUUUUAGUUUUCCUCAAUUUUCAGUUAUAAGAAGUAUAACACACAUAUAUACACAACUAGUCAAAAGAUGUUUCUCAUGAUCGUAAAAUCUUUUGAUCUGAAGGGGGGGGGGUGUCAGGGUUUGUCCCCCCCUAAAAUAUCAUUAAAAUAUGUGUAUUGUAAAUAAUAUAAUAAUAUAUUCUUAAAAUAAUUGUUUAAGAAAUAAAAUUAUACAAAUGCAAACGGGGCAACAACAAAAAACCCCUUGGAGUCCCCUUCAAAAAUUGCUCUUGAGAAUUGUUAUGUUUAUUGUCCCCCCCAACAUUUUGAUGAAAUUUUCACCCCUGUUGCUUACAUGUUUUAAAUUGGGUUUUUUUAGAUAAAAAUAUAAUUGUGCCACCAUAUUCAUUUAUUUCAUUGUAAAACUAAAAUUGAAUUAAAAAAAAAAACUUUUAGAAAUUGAUGACUUGGACCAAAUAUUAAAGAAAAGCAGCCAAAAAGUGCCCAAAAUAGAUUUGAACCCCUUCAAUACAGUUUAAAAAGCAUCCCAGAUAAAACCUCAAGAAGAUGGUUGAGAAAAUGUCAAGAGUACAUGUCUGCAAAUUCUAGAACUAGGGUGACUACUUUGAAGAUGCUAAAAUAUAAACACAGUUUGGAUUUAUUUAGGAUUUUGUUUAGUCACAACAUAACAAAACAUUUCCAUAGUUUCAUUUAUGUUAUUCCAUAGUUUUGAUGAUUUUACUAUUAUUCUAAAAUGUGAAAAAGAAAAAAUAAUAAUAAAGAAUGAGUAAGUGUUUCAAAACUUUUGACCUUCAGUACCAAAAGUAUAUAGGGUCAUUAGAGACCCUAGGAAUGUAAUAGUGUCAUUUUUUGUUUUUUUGCACUUCCAUAAAUUAUAUUUGUAUUAUUAUUUAAUAUCUAUAUAAGAUUAAUACCACAGGAUAUGUAUUUCUUUGUUUAUUGCAAGAAAAAUGUGUCUUAUAUUUGUACAAAUAAAUACUACAUCACAUUGAAUUUCUGUGCAACAGUGGUGAAUUAUCAUUAUCCUACACUAUAUGUGUGCAUACAUACAUAUUAUACAUGCUAUUUGUUACUCAGGUUUCGCUGUUGUUUCAGUAAUUGACUUGAUUUACAUUUGACAUUUGACAACAUAGAAGCAAACUAAUGAACAGUAUGAUACAACUAUUGUCAUUUGGGUGUAACACUGAAAUUAUGAAAGUUGUGCAUCUAUUUAGACUCAAUAAAUGCCUGAGAAAAUACCUACGUGUUGCUUGUGUGCAGCUUAUGUGCAUCUUAUGUGUUCUGUGUAUCUCAAUAUGGGUUUGACAGCCAGUUGUGUCUUAUGAAUUUCAGUGUGAAAGUAAUAAAUCCUGUUCUAGAUGUGUCCUGAUUUGUUGCAUCAUCUCUUAUUUAUAUAUGUAAAUAAAACAUCAAAAUAUAUCAGAAUAUAUUUUAUUCUAUUAUUUUAUUUUUGUCUUGAAAAGGCUUUGACAAUGCACACUAUCUGGGCAUUUUGUAGAUCCAUUUGUGAAUAUACUGUACGUGCCGAGUCUCUAAAGACCUGAAUAUGUAAGAGUGUUUGGUGAAAUUCCCAUCCAUUUAAAGGGGUAAUGAAAUGAGGAAUAAAUAAACUUUAAUAUAUAAAGUUUUAGAACUCAAAGCUUCCUCUCCAGUCCAAGAAGAGCAUUUAUUUUUUUUCACCUGGCAAAAACGACUAGUUUUGAAAUCAGCUUCAUUGUGAUGUCACAUUGCAGUGCAAUUUGCAUAAUCCCUGCCUCCACAACAUGUUCUGAACAAGGAUUGAGGAUUCACAAUGAAACUUGUAUUGAAAGAUGUAGCAGUGGCAACAGUAGUGGACACAACGUAAUGCCAGUGAGUAGCAAGUGUAAUUCUAAUGUUUGUCUGCCUGUGCUCAUUUGAUAUGUAAGGAAUUGUUUUGUCAGCCAUUUUUAUCACAAAAUAAAUCAUAUUCAUUGCUCAAAAGGAGAGCGAAUCAUGCUUAUUACAUGGUUAUUUAUCAAAGAAAUGCACAAUUCCUCACAAAAUAUUGAUUUGAGUUUAAAUUAUUUAAAUAUCCCGGAAGAGCACGGAGCGCAAUGAAAAAAAUGAUGAAGUAUAUGGUAGUAAGGCUGCCUGCAUUCUCAUCUGUCUCAUUAUAGUCAUGAUGUCCCCCAUUUUCUCGUAUUUAAGUGGUGAAUUUAUCAAAGGAGACCUCCUUCGCAGGUUGACCAGUAAAUCAUUCAUGGGUGAUUUCCCCAGCCGACGAACACUGCUUAUUUCCUGACAAAUAAUAAUAAUAAAAAUAAAUAUGCAUGUCAUGACCCCUUUAAGGAUUCAGCAGAAGGUUUGACUGGUUUGUGCAGAUCAAGCUUUUGAAUUUUGAAUUUGUGCAAAGUUAUUUUUUUUAUUAUUAUAAUUUUUUUUGGCAGUUGCAAUGAAAAUUCACCUGGCUCAAAAAUGUGAAGGGGCACUGGCCUCCUCAUUUUGAAUGAAAUAAUUAAAAUAAUUGUUGCAGUGUUAAUCCAAACAAAUGCACAAAAAUAUUAAGCAUUACGCUGUUAUUUUUGGUCCUCUCUUGAGCUUUUCAGCCAUUUUGGAUUCCACCAAAAAUAAUAAUCUACCAAAAUGAAAGCAUUGUUUCCCCUUGGCUUAACUGAUCUACAAAUCCCGCUUCACUGGAGUCUUGUAUUACAGUCGCACAGAUACACAGCUGCAGCAUGCUACCAAAUCUCUCUGUCUUGCUUUAGCUGACAUCAGCACACACAUACACCACUGACCUUCCCUAGUGUCCCCAUUCAGGUCAGUGCUCAGCUCUGCUCUCAUGACAAAAAAAUGAAUG